UUUGGAGAUGGAGCUAGAGAAGGCAGAAAUUGAACGAUCUACCUAUGUUACAGAAGUGAGAGAGCUGAAAGACCUGUUGACUGAAUUGCAGAAAAAACUUGAUGAUUCAUAUUCUGAAGCAGUAAGACAGAAUGAAGAGCUAAAUUUGGAGUCUUCUGAAAAGGAGACCAUGUCUGUAAGUCUAAAUCAGACUAUAGCGCAGCUACAGCAGUUGCUUCUGGCUGUAAACAAACAGCUCACAAAGGAGAAAUGACACUACCAACUUUGGAGUGAAGUAAUGGGGAAACUGUUCGAUUGAGGAUAACAGAAGGCAUUG